UAAAUUCAAGUUUAUGGAUUUUCUUAUGAAUUUCAUGAUUGGGCUGCUCUUGUUCAUGUAGAUAAUGAGAAAUUAAAUUCUACUCGAUGUUGGGUGAUAAAUUCUAUGUGGGUUAAAUUAUUAUAAAUAUAGAUUCAUGCAAACCUAUGACUAAACCCUUGAAUGAUGAAAUUAGAAUUGAACCAUGAUGUUUAAUUAUUUUACAAUGAUGUUUACAUGUACCAUGACUACAAUAU
rnacentral:lncRNA from 1 species